CAGCCAUCGGAGAGGUGUGUCCGGAGACAAGUUGCCACACAUUCAACCGGCACACACUGGUUGCUACUGCCCGCACCAUCCGAACCUAAUCGAAGGCAUAUAAUUAAAUGAAACCAAAUAGGGCCCGCCCCAGCGCUGAUUGCCAAUAGAUAGCUGCGUCGUUCGCGCCUCAGCAUAAUGACAUGCAAUAGCGUUGGGCUACCGAGGAUUGCCGGUCGGCAACUGGGUCGAUAACGGAAAGUGCAAAAUAAAAUAAUUUCGCCACUGGGUGGCUAAUUUCCGAUAAGAAGCUUGUGGCUGGCCUCUAAUCUGUAAUGGAAACUUGACUCGCUGUAACUGUCCUUGGUCCGAUUCGCACUUUUAUUGGACAGGUUCAUGAUCCCGAUUCGUUUCACUCUUUGGAAGAGCCAGUGGAUUACUUUUAUUGCUCGUAAUAAAGCUGGGAUUUAAUUGCGCUUGGCUAUCCUGACAGAGGGCCACUUAUUGGACUCGACUGGUCGGUUGAGUUUGAUGCUACUACCAUUGCUACUGUCGAGCUGAGCUGGGCCGAAACGAUGGCGACGAUGGAAGUAAAUCAAGCGGAGAUUUAUUUUAUGGGUCUGCUGCAGUCGGCACUUUUACUAGAGAAAGCAAUAUUUCUCUUAUCGAAGACAUGAGCUUCUUUGAACGGCCCACCAGAAAAGGAUGUUAGGAAAAAAGUGCAUUUUCUGUUAGUUCAAAAACUGUGCCUGAGACACUCUAUAUAUGUUAAGGAAGGUCGAAUGUGAUCAUACAUUUUUUGAAGUAAUAGUCAAUAAAGUACAGAAUUGGUUUGUCUAGAAA